rnacentral:rRNA from 1 species
CAAUAGCGUAUAUUAAAGCUGUUGCGGUUAAAAAGCUCGUAGUUGGAUUUCUGUCAAGGACAACUGGUCCGCCCCUCGGGUGAGCACAUAGUUUGGUCUUGGCAUCUUGUUGGAAACUGUUGCUGCACUUGGUUGUGUGGCGCAGUGUCCAGCACUUUCACUUUGAGGAAAUUGGAGUGUUUCAAGCAGGCACAUGCCUUUGGACACAGUAGCAUGGAAUAAUUAGAUUGGGCUUUUGCUCCAACUUGUCGGUUUCUGGAGCUGAGGUGAGAAUUAAUGGGGAUUGUUGGGGGCAUCCGAAUUUAGCCGUCAGAGGUGAAAUUCUUGGAUCUGCUAAAGACGGACAACUGUGAAAGCGUUUGCCCAGGAUGUUUUCAUUGA